AAAAAAUUAGUUAAAAUAUAACAUUAGCUUGUCAAGCUAAAAUUAUUAAAUUAUUAAUAUUUUUUG
rnacentral:tRNA from 1 species